rnacentral:lncRNA from 1 species
UGCGCUAGUUGUAGUGGUGGUGGAGGGUUGUGGCUUUACGGUGGGGUGUGUGAGAGGGAUGGAUUUUUUUUAAUUUCUUUUUUUUCUUUUCAGAGCAUACAGAGAGAUGAGAGGGUAGUGGGGAGUUGAUAAUGAGUGAGGUGAGAGUUGGAGAAAGAGAAAAGGGACGCGUGGAGGGAAAGUGAAGAGAGACGUUGAGUGAGUGGUUAUUAAAUGAGUGGAGGGUGAGUUUGUUUUUGUGAGUGACGCAUGGGAUGGAGAGAGAGAGUCCAUUUAUUAAUUUCUCUUUUCUUUUUGUUUUUAUAUUCACUGGCAAGAGAGAGUGAGAGUUUGUUGUGUGAGAGAAGGAAGAGUGACACGUGUCACACUAUUAUUGGAUCCUCAAAAUUCACCAAAUAUGUUCCUUCUUAUCCGUUUCUUUUUUAGAUUGAGAGAGAUAUUUUU